UAGGGUUGACGUCUAAGAUUGUUC
rnacentral:piRNA from 1 species